rnacentral:snRNA from 1 species
CUGGUAGCCUGGCAGGGGUGAUACUAUGAUCACGAAGGUGGUUUUCCCAGGGUGAGGCUCAUCCAUUGCACUGUGGAUGUGCUGACCCCUGUGAUUUCCCCAAAUGCAGGAAACUCGACUACAUAAUUUGUGGUAGUGGGGGACUGCCUUUGUGCUCUCCCCUG